UUUAGUUGAAUAGAAAAAACAAAAUAUUUUGGUUUUUUCUAUUUUUCCAAAAAACAAAUAUCACCUUAAUGUUUUAGGCUUUUAGGCUAUAUUUGGUUCCAAAAAAUUCUAAAAAAAAAAGAAGGAAAUGCUAAGGACCAUGGUUUUCCUGGGUUGGUUUCAUUGUCGAAAAUACAAAAAAACAAAAUAAAAUUUAAAUAUAAUUAAAAAUAGUUAGAAGUUUAUGUAUUUUCAAAUUCUUUAAUCUUAUAUAAAAGAGAUGAAAGUUAGCUGGUGAAUGGAUAUCCUUUUUGAGUGGGCUGGCUCCUUUUGGUGGGUUUGAGAGCUAGAAAAAGAGAACAGAGAAGUGAAAGAGGGGAACUGGCAGCGGGCAUUCUGAUUUUCUGGUGAGUUUUUUAGGAUCCCAUAGAUUGGGAAGUUUGAGAGAGGUUUUAGGGAGGAAAGAGGCCAAAAAAGGAGAAGAGGAGCUGGUGGGUCUUGCUCAAGCUGGAGGAAGAGAGGACUUGCUUACAGCUGAACCAACAUUGCUGGAAAGGAGCACCCUCAGCUGCCCUUUAAGCACAUGGAUUAUUGAUGAAAUGGUGCUUGGUUUAAAGGGCCUGUUUUGUUUUUUUGUUAACCACACCUUUUGUUCUACUCUCUGUUUCUGGGAGAUGAGUUUGGGAGACUGUGUGAAGGGAUGAUUGUUAGUGAUAUGGCUGGUGGGGUGCUAUCAGUGGUAGUGGCAGUCAUUGCUCUACUAUGAAGAACGAGCAGUCAGUGAUGCCUUAACAAAAGUUCAGACCUAGAAAGAAAUGACAUUAGGAGAUGCAUUUCCUAUGAACCAGGUCAAAGAUACAGCUCUUGCUUCUAUUGAGGAACUCAAGAAUCUGGCAGGUGAUGCUGAUAUCAAGGGUCUAGAUGCUGUUCUUGACAAGGCUGUGCAUCCAAAGCAUGGCAAAAGGGUGAAAGAUAGGUGUAUCAGAGAAGGGUGUUACUGGUUCCAGAGAGUGUUUGUUGGGAGAUUCUGGUUUGGGGUGGACUUGGUCAGUUGUGCCAUUUUGACCGCUAUUGAUGCUGUGUUACUCCACUUUUUGCCAUCCUCCUGGAAAAUGGCAAAGGGCUGAAUUACUUCAUACUUUUGAACGAAGACAAGUUGUUCCAGUGCUGUCAUCACAAUGCCCAUAAGCUGUAGUGUGUUUCAAGUCUUCCUAUGAUAAUGGUGCCUUCUUCUUUCAUCUUAGAGUGCAUGGAUGGUGGAUCUCUUUUAUAUUUUCUGAAAAAGAUUAGAAGAGCUAUAUCCUGCUGUCAUCUGUAAUCUGGUGCUCUUGUUGGAUCACGUCUGUUGGAUCCUGUUCAGAGGUUGGUUUCUGGUGGCUGUGAUGAUGCUGUGAAGGUGUGGAAGUUAUAUAAUGGGAAUUUGAAGAUAGAUUGUUUCCCUGCAUGGUUCCACUGAAGAGUUCUUGUGUGAUCUUGAGCAGAAGGAAGAACACAUUGAUAUGUUGAAUGAUCGGUUAAAGCCCAUAGUCUUUUCCAUGGCAAGGCUAGACCGAGUGAAAAACAUAACUGGGAUGGUUGAGUGCUGUGCUAAGAAUGCCAAAACAGGUUUCUCCAUUUCUGUUUGGCUGCUGACAGCUGGAGCAGUUUUGCUUUCGAGAGAAGGAAGGCCAUGUAUACGGAUAAACCUCCCGAAGGAAAGCACUCUACAAAAGGAUUUGGCAAGAAGAAACCUCGGAAAUCAGAAUACGUCAAUUGAAGGUCUAGAUGUGGAGGAUAAGAGCAAUAUCCAGAUUCCACCCUUCACUUCAAUUGUGGUUCCAUCUUCAUUGGAUGAUCAAGAGGAAAAUGAUUUUGCAUUCCAACCUUCUGUUCUGAGCCAACAGUUCUCCAGUUGAAAGCUCCUGUUAAAGUAUUUGGUGAUUUUCGUAGAUAAUCUGGCAAUUUGAUGCAUCUAUUUGAUGAAUAUGGAUCCCCAUUCAGCUUCAGGCCAAGUGCUCUACAGAUUCUAGGUGGAAACUGCACUAGGAGUGACUGAGAUCCUUCUCUCAUCUCUGAUUUUCUCAUUCCAGAUCAUAUCAAUGGAUGAUCAAACUCCCUCAUCAGCAACCUGGCUGAAGAGUAGUCUUCCAGUUAUUGAAAAUAGAAUGCAUAAUGACAUGCCAAAACAACCUUGUAAGGAGAAGAUCGUUGAAAGAAUCGUGGGGUUCUUUAGGCAUCAGAUAAUGGACCAUUGCCAGUGCGAGUUCUUCUACAAGUUGCGGCUGGAAGUGGAGAUGAGCAUGAUGAAGUUUGAGCACAGUGAAGCUAAUGUUAACUCACUGAGUCUGCAUUCUGGUGGUGGUUAUGGUGGUUCCAGAACAAUGCCCUUUUACCUUUAUGUGAUGUGCACAAUUUCAUUUACACAGGCCUAAAUUGAUAUGAGUGAGCUUGAUGAGGAUUCUGAUGGCCUCCUUCAACCGCAUGACCUCUCAUUUUUGUAACUUGGAAUAUGGUAAAGAUGAUUGGAAGAGAUGGCUCAGCCCUUUGCCACUCUCCUGAAUGCUAGUGGCUUGGAGACCAUAUUAGCUAAUGCUCACUUGGUCAAAGAUUUGCAGCAGAAAGCUGUUUACUUGGCCCAAGGAGUAUUGUACCCAGAUGUGAUUGAGUCUUGCCCACCACCUGGAAGCUGCAGGAGCUUUUCUGGCAUGGAGAUGGAAUGGAAGCUACACCAAAUCUUUCAGUUAGGGGCUUCUCGUUGUGAAAGAAAUGAUGUGGACAUUGAAACCUGAAGUUUGUUUAAAAGGCCUUAACUUGAGAACUUUGAUAUGAGUGGCUUAUCUCUCCAAUUGAAAUUGUGAGAGUCGCAGUAAGGAUCUACUUCUGGAACUCACUCUCACUGGCUUUAAAGUUCACUUGGAUGCCAGACUAUGCAGAAUUCCAAGGGAGCUUCCAGAGCAGAAAGACCUAAGUGGGUUGAUGAUGAUAUUCCAAUGGAAAAGGGAACUGGAAUCUCAGCUCAAAAUCAAGAACUGCUGGUCGCAAAUCAUAGUCACAACCAAGCAGACAAGUCAAGCUCAAGGCUGGAUUGUUUUGGAGCAAGUGAGAACAGAGCUGACAAGCCAUGGGGCUCAUGCAGACGUGACUCAUUUCCUUUCAACUGGUUCCAGAAUGAUCCAAAACUGAAAAAAAUGGAAAGAAGCAACAGAGUUUUGUGAAUUUGUAAGAGUAGAUAAAUCUAGAAAGGAGCAGACAAACAAUGAAAAAGUUUUGGUGAUCUUGAGAAAGCUGGAAUUGAAAAUUGUGAUAUGGCUGGAAGUGGACAUCUCAGAAGAAAUUCCCUGCCGAUCAGUUGGCCCAAAUGAUCCUGAACUCAAAGAACAAAUAAUUCAACACAUGGCUACUGCCCUAGCAAAUGCACCACCUGAUCAGAAGAGGGCAUUACUGUUUCAAUUGACGGAGCUGAAUUCAGGAGAGAGAAGCUCUUUGCUGCUGCUACCACUUCUGCCUCUACCUCCGGCAUUGACAUCUGCCACUUUUCCUUACCAUGUCUCAUGAUCUGGACAGUCCUUUACAAACUCAGAUGGCAGUUGCAACCAGCAAAGGAACCAUUUAUUAUUACUCUGAAAAAUAAGAGAAUGGGAAGAGAACCUUAUACAAGAUGUGUUUUGUUCAAACUGAAACUGGCAUUAUGUUGGGCAUGGAGUUAGCCAAGAGUGACAAGGCACAUACAAUGAAGAAGAGAUUGCAGCUUGCCCUCGAUAUCCCAACUGAGGAAAGCCCAUUAACACAUUGGGAUCUGCACUUGUUCUGGCUGCUCAACUUGGUGAUCAGUUUUAUGGUGAUACUGUGAAGAACCUAACUGAAACAGUGGAGGAUUGUCUCAUGAUUUAAAAAUUUGGAUCAGAUCAGAAAUAUUGCUCAUCCUGUCGAUGUAUCCGAUCAGGGGGCUUCUCCAUGAUCUACUGUGGCAGAUCCUGAUAAAGAUAUUGAAAGUUGGGGAGGUGUUCAGUGUUGCAGGUUUAAUGGCUUUAGGUACUGCCAUAGAUCAAGGAGAGACUUCAAAUUUCCAUUUUCAAAAAUUCCUAAAGAUGAUCUAGCCUUGGGGUUCUUCACUUGGAGAUGGGUUCUCACCCUCGGAUUCGACCACAUGUUCUCACCUCCUCCUGUCUUCCUCGGAAUGUUGGCUCACCUGGCUACAUAACUCAUGGUCUGUACUUACAGAACACAAAUCCCUCUGAUUAAGGUUGCAAGAGGAUAGAAUUUCUGGCACUUUGCUGAAGCCAUUCUCAAACCAGUAUGCACACAGCUGUUAUUAUUUGUGGAAGGACUGGAUGUGUUAGGACCACUCAAGUUCCUCAGUUCUUGUUACGAAGCUGAUUUAAGCCCGAGGCAGGCAGCAUGCUCAUGUGGAGGAGUCUGAUGAGUCUGGACUUACUGGUGACUAUACCUUCACGCCCCUGUUUCCGCUAGUGUGGGGGUUUCCAAAUGACAACUGAAUAAGGGAAUGGAGCGAAUGAGUAUGGCCUAAGAUCUUGCUUCAAACACCUAUAAUCUCCACUAGUUUACCAGCACAGAUGCUACCAUCAACCAAGAAGUCAAAUGAGAUGCUGAUUUCAAAUGGUAAAGGAACUGUGCUUGCGAAAUCAGCUAUUGGAAAUGUGAAACAGAAACCCUUGGAAUAUGAUCAGAAUCGACAAGUUGCUUAAAGACCUCGAUGACCUUGCUGGUACCAUUUCUGAUGAGCACUGUUCUGGUGAUGACACCAUGCACAACUGGAAAUAAUACCAAUGACUGCUAGUGCUGCAUAGAACAGUAUGAUUCAUGGAACAAGGCAAGUUCAGGGAGAUCCAGAAAGAAUGAAAAGGCAAUUCAGAACCCCGCUUUUCUUAGAAGUCUUGCUCAGAAAAUUGGACCAAUGGAUUUUUCAGCAUAUAAUAAGAAAAGGCGAUUGCCUCAAGUUGAUCACUUGCAACCAGUCUACUCAUCGGAGGCCACAAGUAUGCAGGAAAUGUGUUCAUUUCUGGAUCAAACAUUGAUGGAAAAAGUCAGUAGGCACUGGUAUGGGCUAUUUUUCUUUGAGCAACAGGUGGAGAAGUUUAUGCAACUCCAGGACAUGUCCACACUGGCAGGCCAAGGUGCACAAUUCAGUGAAUCUGAUUGGUAAGGUUCUUAUAGUCCAGCUCAGUUUCAGCAGUCUUCUGAUAGCAAGUGCUGGGUUGUCACUGUCAUCACCCAAGAUGCCAAUGCUGCUUCUCAUUCUCCGGCUCUAUGAAUUCCAUUAAUAUCUGAAGGUGAUUUGGUCUAUAUCUCUGCAUGUCGUCUGAACGAAAUGACUGUCUGUACAGCUGGGCAAGUUAUUUCUGACCCACCUCCACUCGAUAUAAAUCUGGGCCUACCUUCUAAUGUUGAAAUUUCUGGAGCCUUUCAUCUUCAGACGCCGGGUUGAAGUGGGUCAUGCCAUUUCAUCAAUGCAAAUCCUGUUGCCUGCCAAAAGAGAAUUCGUUCCUCGUGUCAUUAAAAAAUAUACUCGUCCUUGGUGAAAUUCUUGGGAACGUGAUUAGUCUGCCAGCAGAAUUUUUGGGGGAGAUACAAUUCAACACUCUCAAACUGGAACCAGAGAUAAUGGCAGCACUACAACUUCGAUCACACCAGCAAGCUCAAUCCCUGAACCCAGCAAUGCAUUAGCCGUUGUCCUAGUAUCUCUUGUAUCAGUUAAGACUAUGGGAAGAAGCAAGACAGCUGAGCUUCUAAAGCAUGUCUCAGAGCUCAAUGAAGCUAUUAUUCGUUCAAAGCUGGUUGCCAUUGAAACAGAGAAAUAGAACUCUGCCGUCCUAUAUGAAAAGAAGCAGAGUUACAGUUAGUAACAACAACUUGGGCUCAAACACAGGAAUAUCUAGAAGAGUUGAGGAAACAAGCAGAGAUAGUGCAGUUUCUGGAAAGUGAACUCCUGGCUAAAUUGGUAUUCAUUGAAACACCCUACAAUCUGUCACCAUCAUCCUCCUGAUGCUCCUCUUUUAUUUAUGUGAAUUUACACUUUUUAAAUUAGGUUUUCAAAACCUUUUUGCCGUACAAAUUCAUCCUUGGACUUUUUCAGGUCUCUAAAAUCCUUUUUUUAAUAAACUUGUUGCCAUAUUUGGUUUAGGCAUGUAUUUUUUUUAUUUUCUUUGGUUUUUAAUACUAAGCAUGAAUUAAUUUUAUGGUUCCAAAAAUAAUGAAAUUUAUAAAAUUAAUUCAUGCAAAAAUAAAUUAGGCCUUAGUGGGAGCCCAACAUCCAAGAUAUUUUCUUUGAAAAUUACUGAGUGAAGUGUAUGCUCAAUUUUGAUUUGUUUUGUGAUGCAUGUGAAAUAUUUUACACUUAUCAUUUUGUACUAA